GGCGGGGUAACGGCCCACCCAACCAAAGAUCCAUAGGGCCUUGAGAGAGGGAGCCCCGAGAAGGACACUGAGAUACUGGUCCUAGCCCUACGGGGUGCAGCAGGCGCGAAACCUUUACAAUGCACGAAAGUGUGAUAAGGGGAUCCAGAGUGCCUAUACAUUGUAUAGGCUUUUGCCAAAGUUAAAUCCUUUGGCGAAUAAGUGGUGGGCAAGACUGGUGCCAGCCGCCGCGGUAACACCAGCGCCACGAGUGGCAACCAUGAUUAUUGGGCCUAAAGCGUUCGUAGCCGGUUUGGUAAAUCUUCUGUGAAAUUGUACAGCUUAACUGAACAGCGUGCAGGAGACACUACCAGACUUGAGACCGGGAGGAGCUGAGGGUAUUCUUGGGGGAGCGGUAAAAUGCUAUAAUCCCUUGAAGACCACCUGUGGCGAAGGCGCUCAGCUAGAACGGAUCUGACGGUGAGGGACGAAAGCCAGGGGAGCGAUCCGGAUUAGAUACCCGAGUAGUCCUGGCCGUAAACGCUGCGAGCUAGGUGUUGCACACACUCCGAGUUUGUGCAGUGUCGAAGCGAAGGCAUUAAGCUCGCCGCCUGGGAAGUACGGUCGCAAGACUGAAACUUAAAGGUAUUGGCGGGGGAGCACCACAAGGGGUGCGGCGUGCGGUUUAAUCUAACUCAACACAGAAAAUUUCACCAGUAGCGACGGCAGAAUGAAGGUCAGUCUGAAGGGCUUACCCAACGAGCCGAGAGGUAGUGCAUGGCCGUCGUCAGCUCGUGCCGUGAGGUGUCCUGUUAAGUCAGGCAACGAGCGAGACCUGUAUCUACAAUUGCUAACUGCCUUUGGGACAGAGCACAUUGUAGAGACUGCCCGUGAAAACGGGAGGAAGGUGCAGGCAACGGUAGGUCUGUAUGCUCCGAAUCCACUGGGCUACACGCGCGCAACAAUGGUUGGGACAAUGGGAUGCAACUCCGAAAGGAGAAGCUAAUCCUCUAAACCCAGUCUAAGUCCAGAUUGAGGAUUGUAACUCAUCCUCAUGACGAUGGAAUCCCUAGUAAUCGGACUUCAUCAGAGUCCGGUGAAUAUGUCCCUGCUCCUUGCACACACCGCCCGUCAAACCACUCGAGCAGAGUUUAGGUAAGGGUUAACCUAUUAGUUCAUCCGAAUCUAAG
rnacentral:rRNA from 1 species